UACGAAGGGGGCUAGCGUUGUUCGGAAUUACUGGGCGUAAAGCGUGCGCAGGCGGUUUUGUAAGUCUGUCGUGAAAUCCCCGGGCUCAACCUGGGAAUUGCGAUGGAGACUGCAAGGCUAGAAUCUGGCAGAGGGGGGUAGAAUUCCACGUGUAGCAGUGAAAUGCGUAGAGAUGUGGAGGAACACCGAUGGCGAAGGCAGCCCCCUGGGUCAAGAUUGACGCUCAUGCACGAAAGCGUGGGGAGCAAACGAGGAUUAGAGUACCCG
rnacentral:rRNA from 1 species